GACGAACGCUGGCGGCGUGCUUAACACAUGCAAGUCGAACGGAAAGGCCCUGCUUUUGUGGGGUGCUCGAGUGGCGAACGGGUGAGUAACACGUGAGUAACCUGCCCUUGACUUUGGGAUAACUUCAGGAAACUGGGGCUAAUACCGGAUAGGAGCUCCUGCUGCAUGGUGGGGGUUGGAAAGUUUCGGCUGUUGGGGAUGGACGCGCGGCUUAUCAGCUUGUUGGUUGGGUAGUGGCUUACCAAGGCUUUGACGGGUAGCCGGCCUGAGAGGGUGACCGGCCACAUUGGGACUGAGAUAGGGCCCAGACUCCUACGGGAGGCAGCAGUGGGGAAUAUUGCACAAUGGGAGGAAGCCUGAUGCAGCAACGCCGCGUGCGGGAUGACGGCCUUUGGGUUGUAAACCGCUUUAGCCUGUGACGAAGCGUGAGUGACGGUAAUGAGUAAAGAAGCACCGGCUAACUACGUG
rnacentral:rRNA from 1 species